rnacentral:rRNA from 1 species
CACGGGGGGAGCAAGCGUUGUUCGGAAUUACUGGGCGUAAAGCGUGCGCAGGCGGUGAUGUAAGACAGGUGUGAAAUCCCCGGGCUUAACCUGGGAACUGCAUUUGUGACUGCAUCGCUGGAGUGCGGCAGAGGGGGAUGGAAUUCCGCGUGUAGCAGUGAAAUGCGUAGAUAUGCGGAGGAACACCGAUGGCGAAGGCAAUCCCCUGGGCCUGCACUGACGCUCAUGCACGAAAGCGUGGGGAGCAAACAGG